rnacentral:tRNA from 1 species
GCCACCACCUGCGGGGACAUCCCGCUGGAGCUGGACGCGAAGAACGCCCCGCACACGGUCAACUCCUUCGGCUU